GCCACCUGGGCCUUGACGGCCUCGCCCAACUUUAUUAGGUCCGCCUUCUCAGCAGCAUGAGCUUCGACCAGUCUUUGCUUCUCCAGCUCGUGUGCAGCUCGGAGUUUGGACGCCGCCUCUUCCGCCACCCGCGCCUCCAGGACCCCAUCCGCCUCCAGAUACUUCUGGAUGGAGGCAAUAAAAACAGCACUCCCUUUGGCAUUCCGCAGCAAGACGGGCAAAGGAACCUUGUCAAAGGCCUCCUUAGCAUUGGCAUUCAGGAGAGCCUGUUCAAUAGCCCGGGGGACGUGGACUUGGGAGAUACGGUCCUGAGCCCCCCUAACUCCCCCCUUCCUGGUCGGCUC
rnacentral:lncRNA from 1 species